UGCUAGCUCAAAUUAACUGAACUUGGCACUAGCUGAAUCAGAGGGAUGAAAUGAUUGGAUAUGUUAAUGAAAGGUGAUAAAGGAGACCAAUGGAUAAUGCUUAAAGUAAAACACUGGAAAAGAGCCAAAUUAAGAGGUGUGCUCAUAAUGGGGCUGUUGAACAAAGGAAUACGCUGACAGGAUAAAAUAUGAACAAUAUGCUGAUUGCAGAGAGACCAAUCCAAAAGGAAGGAAUCAUCAAAGGAGUCAAGUUAAAGAAAAGCAUAAAAGGGAAAGAAAGAAGUUGAGUGUGUCGUCGUUGUCGUCAUCAUCAUCAUUUACAUCAUGAAUCCAGCUUUCAACACCUGUCUGGAUCAUCCCAGCCAAUGACGCACCCUUUGCCCUUUGUUUCAGGAACUGAGUGGCCGUCUUUUCUGUGAGGCAAAUUAACUUCUGGGAUUGGACUUACUGAAGAGGAAAACAGCAGAAAUAACAUCUAUAUUUCAAAUGAAUUUAUUGCUGCAUAAAACAAUACAUUACAGAGUUAGCAAGCAUGGUAUGAGGCAAACUUACUGGAAUGAGUAAUAGACCAUUGUAUAAAAACAACACGGAUUUACAGAGAUAUAUCCAUUGGUAGCAUCGCAAGAGUCAACAUUAGCCUUGGCUUUCAUUCACCCUGUAUAUAAGUGACCUGCAUUGAAAUCCUAUUUUGAAAUUGACAUCACGCAUUUUCAAGACUGCAGCAGAUGUGGGCAAUUUGGAAAGCCAGAACAAGCACAAGGAGUUCAGAACAACCUGAAGGGAUUUGUUUGAAGGAUGGCCUGAAUGUAAACUGAAGAGCCUUGAGACCUAAAGCUCUUAGCACAUCAUAAGGAAGAGGUCAGGAGGAAAUGUGAGGAGGAAACCUCUGGUGAGGAGGUCACUCCAUGCACAGAAUGGACUGAGGGAGGCAACUUGACCCAGAGGAAGAGACACUGGUUACUCAUCAUAGGUGACUCCAUCAUAAGAGGAACAUAGGGCCCCAUCUGUCGCCAGGAUCCCAUGACAUGCAAGGUCUACUGUCUCCCCGGAGCGUGGAUUCAGAAUGUGAGGGAGAUGAUCCCAGCCAUCAUCCAGCCCACUGAGUACAACCCCAUGGUCCUAAUCCAUGUGGGCACUGAUGAUGCAGCCAGGAGCUAUCCAGACUGCCUGAUGAAGGACUACCAAGCGCUGGGGGGGCAAGCUGAAGGAGAUAGGGGCACGAGUGAUCUUCUCAUUGAUCCUUCCAGUGAGCAGGUGUGGAAGAUGCCAUGAGACCUGCAUCUGGGACGUUAGCUUGUGGCUUUGGGAAUGGUGUCUCAUGGUGGGCUUUGGCUUCAUGGAGCACGACCCUCACUUCAGAACAAGAGACAUGCUUGGGUGGGAUGGACUUCACCUCUCCCCCAAAGGUACAGCUCUAAUGUCAUCUGCUGAUCAUACCUGUGCUGGCUGUAAUUGUGCUGUCUCUUCUCACUGCUUCAUUAGCAGUUCCAAGGACUUGUUGGGAAUUGCAGGUAGAAUUUGAUCUCUGUUGUAUUGCCAUUAUAAUGGAGAUUGAUCCCACCACUGUCCCCCAUUGGGAAUUUGAACUGGAACUCCUGCUGGGAUAAGUGAAGUGAACUUGAAUACUGUUCCAUUAUGGGUUUUGUAUCCCAUAGGAGGGGAAAAAGUGUUAAUGUGUCACAGGUUACAGGAACUCUGUGGGAGUCCUUUGAAAAAAAUGAGCUGUUGUGAAUUAGCCAUUGAAGAAUGCUGUCAACAACAAGAUGCAAGAAAAGUUUUGAAUCCAGUUAUGUUUAACAACUGUAUUCUAGCUCACUGAGUCACUUGUAAAAGGAAAAGAAAAUAAUGGAAUGGGGAGAUAAGGCUAAUGUGCAAAGCUCACAAGAGAUUCUGAUCAUAAUCUGAAUCUUCCCAUAGUCUGAUUGUUGUUAUACAUAAGAGACUUUGGGACCAUCUCUAAACAAAUAUAGAAGAAACAACAGAGUUUCAGCUUGGGAAAACUGCAAACUGUCUGCCCAAAGUGCAGUACCCAGCACUGUCCUAGGGAUAGCACUCAGAAGGCAUGCCUACACAUGACACUAUGUCACCAUAGCUAUGUGCUACGGCAAAGUAUUGUCCAUGGGUGUUUACACGUGACCAGCAGCUAUUACACCAUACCGGUGCACUCCCCCAUUAUAGUGCACUGCUAUGUUAGAAUAGCUGCUAAAAAUAACCACACGCUGCAUGUACAGCACGAUAUGGGUGCUUACUGUGCCGUGCUUUAGUACUUUUGGAAGUAGUAAAGCGUAGCACAGUAAUAAUGUCGCCAUAGGGCAACAUGUAUACAUGCCCCAGAGUGUACAGUCUCCCUGAGUGUACAUGGCCUCUGCUUGUUACCCCUGUUGUUUUGCAGAGUACAUAAUUAGGCAUGUUAGCCACACUCUGCAGCAUGCAGCUACAGCUAUUAUUUCCUUUUUAUGUAGAAGUGUACUGGUAGCAACUACCUUAGCCUUGUCCUAUAAAAGUGCUUCCAGGCUGGUAAACAGUAGGAAUGGUUAAAUAGAAUCUCCAUAUUGAAAUUAUGAAAUAGAAAGAAAAAGUUCCUUCAUAAUUUAUUUUUAUGAGGAGAGUGUAACAUUUAUAAUGUCUAUAACUGUUCAUUUUAUCAUUUAUAAUUACUUACAAAACUCACCAAUGUAUUAAAAAUGUUAUAUGGUUUGGAGAAGUAUAACCUUUUUUAUGUUUGGGUCAUUUUUAGAAAUUACCAGGAAUAAACAGGUUGUUAUGAUGCAGCAUAAUGCAUUAUUGACUAUCUUUUAAGACAACUCAUAUGAAGUUCUGAUUUGUAAGAAAACAUCACUUUCUAUGUUUUCUUCUCCUAAAAGCAAACAAUUUCUUCACACAUACUUUAUAAGGGAAGGAAAUAAAAGAAAUGACUUUUCUUACACAUUAGUUCAUAACAGCUUUUUUAAAUGAAGCUGAUUGCAAUAGAUUUCAGUUUUAA